GGCCGGCUGGCCUAAUGGUUAAGGCGUCAGUUUCCGGUAUGGAAUCAGCUGAAGAUUCUGGGUUCGACUCCCAGGUUGGUCG